GUCUCAGGUGUCAUAUAAAUAGAGCGGGACGGAAAUACUUCGGUUUGCCCCGGCGGCCGUCCCGUGGCGUCGCAUCGGCUGGCUGCCCUUACAGAACGAGAAGUCCACAAAGCGGUUGCGAACAGACUGCCAUUAGUAUGCAUCAGUGUGCCACGGUCCUACUGCAGUGUGCCAGAGUAUUUUGGUCGGACUUUCGGUCAACCUGCUGGUCUCCUCAGAGUAUGCCGUUGGCUGACCAGUAUGCCCCCAGUCCAUCCAGUCCGCUCACCACUGGGCAUCAACCUAGUCAACCCCCAGUCUGCCUCGGUGGACUAGUCGGACUCUUCCCAAACUCUUUGAAUCUAGGGAAGAGAGCCGCGAUAGAGUUAUAAGUUAAAUAUUUAGAAAUGGUCAGAUUGAAAAAAAACUCUGACAGAAAUUAAAAAUAAUUAAUAAUCGGCUUUUUUCGCCUUUCCGCCGUGUCGGUAGGCAACCCAUCAACCUUCGUGGGUUCAUUACUUGUGGCCGUUGUUGUAAUCGCAAAGGUGCGCGAUGAACAGAAAACAUCUAUGCAAGUGUCGUCCAAAUCGCAAAAAGGGGACGUUUUUUGGGUUUUUUUUUGGAUGUUUUGUGGUCGAUGGAAUUUAAAAAGGUAAACACUUUAAACGUCGCGCGUCGUCUGCUGAGUGCGAUCUCUCGAAAUCGAUUCACUCUUACCAACUUUGGUGCCUGACCAAUCUCGUCGAAGGCGCUUUGGGAAGGUCGUUUACUGCCUGUAUGUUGGCAGUCGUACAAAAACAUAAGUAGAGAGGUUAGUUUUCCUUCUGCUUCCUUCGUGCUGUUUCGUACUCCCUUAGAAGUUUGUGUCACUGGCUUUGCAUAACUCGCAGUCGCCUUUGAGUAUGAAUUUUUCGCCGUAUUUCUUUGCCGUCACUUAUUUGCACCGCCCUUGACUGGAAGCGAAGCGUGUUUCAGUGCCUAGGCACCUUUCAAUGAAAGCGUUUGCACCAAACAUCCACUGUAAAGUUUCAUGCUUAUUCAAUUUGUGAUUAUUUUUCCAAGAUACAAAUGCUUUGAAUUUUAUAUUAUUUGACAUGUUUGAGUUGCUACCUUUCAGCUGCUUUCAGCUUGACACACUCUCACACAGCUUUAUGUGUACUGCCAAGCCUAUGUAUGUGGUUAUGUAAACAAUUGUGAACAUCUUAAUAACUUGUUCUAAAUCCUGUUUGCAGGGAUCAACAAUUGUCAACUCUAUGGUGAAGAGGCCCCAGCACACUGUGAUGUUAGAUAUCCUGCUCUGCUAGAGAGAAUUCACACGAUGGAGGGACUCCAACUCCAACCUCGCAGUGGAUCUACUUUCGGAAUCAAACGUCUAUUUUGAGGUCCAUGUCCUGUGCUGAAAUUCAAAGGGGGAUUCUUCACGGAAGAGAUGUCAUAAAGAUGAUUCAAUAAUUUUGUGUCACUUUAUUGAAUGUGUUUAAUUGUAACACUUGUUUCUGUUGUCAAUAUUUUAAAAUUUCAAUUUUUCGAUUUUACUGAACAUUAAAUAUGUUAAAAGACA